ACGAUCGUCGUACAAUUUUGGGAAUGGUUGGUUGCUGCAAAAUGUCAUCUUUCUGAAUUAAAAGAGACAUGCAGCAAACCGUAAAAUGAUCCCGAAACACCAUAUUAAAAAACCUUUGCAGCGAAAGAUAAAAUAGAGCUGGCCAAUGCUCGGUGGGCAAUCCCCUCGCGAACACACCGCAAAUCGAAGCACCAUGGAAGAGCCGCAACGGGUUUCCUCUUCCAUCGUCGGCGGUUGCUUGUGCCGCUAUGGAUUCCAAGAUUAAUUUUUGAGGUUCAUUACUGAGACGGGUGACCAGAUUCAGAUAGGUCCGUCUCUUCUCUUCUGCUCCCAUGGAUACAAAAUUGCACCAGGAAAGCCGUCCGAAUAACCAAUCCAUCUAAGUCUAGCCAUCCGCGAUCAAUAAAUAACCUUGAAGAA